AUACGGAGGGUCCGAGCGUUAUCCGGAAUCAUUGGGUUUAAAGGGUCCGUAGGCGGGAAUCUAAGUCAGUGGUGAAAUCUUGCAGCUCAACUAUAAAAUUGCCAUUGAUACUGGAUUUCUUGAAUUAGUGUGAAGUGGUUAGAAUGUGUAGUGUAGCGGUGAAAUGCAUAGAUAUUACACAGAAUACCAAUUGCGAAGGCAGAUCACUAACACUAUAUUGACGCUAAGGGACGAAAGCGUGGGGAGCGAACAGGAUUAGAAACCCCAGUAGUCC
rnacentral:rRNA from 1 species